rnacentral:rRNA from 1 species
GGUUAAGCGACUAAGCGUACACGGUGGAUGCCCUGGCAGUCAGAGGCGAUGAAGGACGUGCUAAUCUGCGAUAAGCGUCGGUAAGGUGAUAUGAACCGUUAUAACCGGCGAUUUCCGAAUGGGGAAACCCAGUGUGAUUCGUCACACUAUCAUUAACUGAAUCCAUAGGUUAAUGAGGCGAACCGGGGGAACUGAAACAUCUAAGUACCCCGAGGAAAAGAAAUCAACAGAGAUUCCCCCAGUAGCGGCGAGCGAACGGGGAGGAGCCCAGAGCCUGAAUCAGUGUGUGUGUUAGUGGAAGCGUCUGGAAAGGCGCGCGAUACAGGGUGACAGCC